ACUGUCUUCCUUAGAGUCUCCAGCCAGAGUUGUGGUUUCAGGGCCACAGGUCUGCAGGUCUUGUUGACCAGGAAUUCAAGUCAUGGAGAUCUGCCUGCCUCUGUCUCUGGAGUCCUGGUAUUAAAGCAUUCAUUUUUUUGAUUCUUUGACGUCUAAUGGAUCAGAGGAACAUAGGCAUGGAACUGCAGACCCUGGAAUGAGCCGCAUCAGGAAUGACAGUAAUGGUGCAGCAUGAAUUGAAGUGGCAGGCAAAAAACUCAGGUUCCCUAGAGGAAGCUAGCCAUGUAACUAUUCGCAUAGCUAACUUAUGGAACCAGCCUAGAUGGCCCUUGGCAGACGAAUGGAUGAAGAUAAUGUGGCAUAUGAACAUAAUCUUGCUGUUUAGCCACACAGAGGAACACGGUUCUGCUAUUUGCAGAGUACAAAUGGAACUGGAUGACAUUCCGUUAAGUGAAAUGUCAGACUCAGGAAGACAACUGCCACAUGUUCUCACUUCCAUGUGAAGACAGAAAGCUGAUAUCAAAGAAACAGAGAAUCAGACUGUGGUAACUGGAGCCUGAAAGGAGUGCGAGGCAUGGAAGGAUGAGGAGAGGAUUGCAGGGUGCAGUUUGAG
rnacentral:lncRNA from 1 species